rnacentral:piRNA from 1 species
UGCACUUGCCUUGGUCUUCAGAACGAUCAU